CUCUUCGUGUCUGCUGGAGCUGGAAGAAGGAAUGGAACACAGUAUAUCUAGUAAAUUUAACUUCAGACGGCCUUUUUAAAGGCAGAUAUUGUUAUAUUUUAAGCAUGUUAACUCCCUGUUUUCAGACCUUUAUUGGCUGACUCAGUAUAGAUAAUGUACACAGGAUGGGACUCAUCUGCACGUGCUGAGGUCCUCCGUGGUCAGCACGUGGGGGUCACGGUUAGACUAAAGAUGGACAGGAAUCUGAUCAAAGUUUAAAUCUUAGACUUUAGUAAAGUUAAGUUAAAUAAGGAGCACCAACAGACUCUUUGAGGACAUCUUGAAGAUUAAAGGUGAGUUCUAAACAGUGAGCCAGAGGUAUGACCUCACUGCACAGUUCCCGAUAUGUGGAUCAAUCAUAACGAUAUUGCCUGAAGCGUGAGAUAUCAACCAACUUGGAUUAUUUCCAAACUACUUAGUCAGUGGUUAGAUUGCAUUAGUUUUACGUCAAGCACAAAACAUUUUGAACCACCAUUUUUACUCAUCUGAUCCUGGAGAAACACCCAGAAGAUCAGAAUCAGUUUAAGUCUGAAGGUCUGAUGUGUCUGAGUAAAAACUGUCACACUUCUAACAUCAAACAUCAAUACCAUACCAGCAUAUGUUGCCGUUUAAACACUGAAUUCUUAAAUGGGAGGAAAUAUUGAGCACUACAGGGUUAAUCUCAGACUGUUUCACCAGCUUGAACCCUUAAGAGAGGUUUAACGGAUUUAUCAAAGCUUUUCUGCAGCAUCAUGGAGACAUGGUGACAGACUAAAAGGUGUUUUGUCGUUUCAGGAUCAGGAUGCUGCAGAGGUCCAGUCCUGCACAAAGAUCUGUGCUCCUGAGAGUUCAGUCUGAAGACAUGAGCUGAUGUAAGUCUAUGGAGGCCUCUGAUCUGCAGAAACAGUCACGCUGAUAUGAUGAUUCACUAGACUAGAGUCUCUGAUUGAACCAUGAAGCUCUUUCACAGUGCACUGACCCUGCAGAGCCCUGAUUAAACUGACUAAGGAGAGCAGAGCUGCUUUUAAUGACUUUUCCUUUUUCUUGCUCCAGGUAUUGGAUCAGGAUCAGCGUGAUGUGAUGGCUCCUCCUCAGUAAGUCUGACACUAGAUAAAGCCUCUCUCUUAUAAUUAUUUAUGUGGGAUGAUGAUUUCAUAGACUAGAGUCUCUGACAAAAGCAUGAAGUUGUUUCACAGUGCACUGACCACAGAAACCACUCAGUUAUUGGAUGUCUUUAACCCAAUUUGCUGCUCAUUAUAUGGAUCUGAAAUCACUGCAGGCAAACUGUUGCAAACACAGAUGACUUUAUUCAACAUCAGAUUCACAGGCAUAUUUGUCUGUACUGACAUUUGGGAAGUAUUAGUAUGAAGGAUUCCAUUCCUUAAAUGUAAAAUGACUUCCUGUUAUACAUGCAGAUGAAACAGGAUCUGAAGUUUUUAGAAUCACAUUCAGGCUAACAUCUGCUUCUAAUACAAAGUGGAGGAGAAAAUUUUAUACUGAAGUUUGAAAGUAUUCUUACCCUUCAUCAGACCUGGACUGUUGGACUUUUUGUAGAAAAAAGUUCUUUCAGACAUUUUGAGUUUAUUUUUCAGUAUAUCCAAAGAAGAAAAAUGUGUCAGAAUAUAAAUAUAGAGGGAUCAGUCUCAUAGUCCUCUUUGUUUCCUGCUGUAACAGUGAAUGGGUUAAAACAUCCAAAUAUGUGUCAUCUCAGAGCUUCUUCAUGCUCUGACAUGUUACUGAAUUUGGACCUUUUUUGUCUUUCAGCUGGUCUCUGCAGACGGUGAGGAGAUGAUGGGACUGUUUUAUCUGUAAGUACAAACCAUGGUGUUGAAGUUAAGGGUGACAUUCUUCUUUCAUGCAGCAGUGGGUGAUAAAGUAGAAAUUAUCAUGACCUUAGAUAAAGGACGUAAUAGUAAUAAAUUAGGUCUCAGAGGGGCUUGUCUCCUACUCUGCUGUCUGAGUUGGUCGAUGAUGAUUCAGUUUUUCGGUUCGACUGAUUUCAAACUGAAGUUUUCUCGCAGCGCACUGAGACGCUCAGAUGUACAGAGUUCCUGUUUGGAGAGUUUCUUUUUUUAGUCUUGUACAGAAAAUGAACAAAACUUGUGUUUCUGUCUCUCCAGGUCAGACUGUGGCAGCCUGAGCUGAAGCACAAAUAGGUUAGUGUUGAUUUGACUGUUAUUGGAUUGACAUGAAAAUCUUUGAUUUGGAUUAUUUUUCCACAUGCUGACGUUAAAUGUGUCUUCACAGGUGAUCCAGGGUGAGUUUGAUCUGCACAAGCUCUGCAAGAACAAUGACGCAUGAAGUUGGUUGUAGAUGUUGAUAUAUUGUCCCAGAAUCCUCUGUAAUUUAAAAAGAAAAUCUUUUUCUGGUUUAGUUUUAGUUUUGAGUUGUAUUUAUAUAACUGAUGUAAAAAAAAGUUUAAAAAUGUUUUGUUUUUUUCUUAAUGAUUUAAUUUUGAUAAUAAAUGAUUCUUCAUCUCCUGAA